GAUGAACGCUGGCGGCGUGCUUAACACAUGCAAGUCGAACGGUGAACGAGGGAGCUUGCUCCCUCCGGAUCAGUGGCGAACGGGUGAGUAACACGUGAGCAAUCUGCCCUGGACUCUGGGAUAAGCGUUGGAAACGACGUCUAAUACCGGAUACGAGGCGUGGGGGCAUCCCCAACGCCUGGAAAGAACUUCGGUCCAGGAUGAGCUCGCGGCCUAUCAGCUAGUUGGUGAGGUAACGGCUCACCAAGGCGACGACGGGUAGCCGGCCUGAGAGGGUGACCGGCCACACUGGGACUGAGACACGGCCCAGACUCCUACGGGAGGCAGCAGUGGGGAAUAUUGCACAAUGGGCGCAAGCCUGAUGCAGCAACGCCGCGUGAGGGACGACGGCCUUCGGGUUGUAAACCUCUUUUAGCAGGGAAGAAGCGAAAGUGACGGUACCUGCAGAAAAAGCACCGGCUAACUACGUGCCAGCCGCCGCAGUAA
rnacentral:rRNA from 1 species